rnacentral:rRNA from 1 species
AUUGAACGCUGGCGGCAUGCCUUACACAUGCAAGUCGAACGGUAACGCGGGGCAACCUGGCGACGAGUGGCGAACGGGUGAGUAAUGCAUCGGAACGUGCCCAGUAGUGGGGGAUAGCCCGGCGAAAGCCGGAUUAAUACCGCAUACGACCUCCGGGUGAAAGGGGGGGAGCGCAAGCCCUCUCGCGAUUGGACCGGCCGAUGUCAGAUUAGGUAGUGGGUGGGGUAAAGGCCCACCAAGCCGACGAUCUGUAGCUGGUCUGGGAGGACGACCAGCCACACUGGGACUGAGACACGGCCCAGACUCCUACGGGAGGCAGCAGUGGGGAAUUUUGGACAAUGGGCGCAAGCCUGAUCCAGCCAUGCCGCGUGCGGGAAGAAGGCCUUCGGGUUGUAAACCGCUUUUGUCAGGGAAGAAAUCUUUUGAGUUAAUACCUCGGAAGGAUGACGGUACCUGAAGAAUAAGCACCGGCUAACUACGUGCCAGCCGCCGCCGUAA